rnacentral:misc_RNA from 1 species
UUUUUUUUCAUGUGUGGAGUCAUUAAACUGACGAGCAACCUGAAGCUCAACAUCAACAUAAUCAGCUCCCAACUCCAUGGCUAAUCUAAGAGCAUCCAAUCUACUGGGUUCGUCACCUUCAUACUGACCUCCCUCCCAUAUUGGUCUGUAAGUGAAAAGAGUGGGCAAAGGAGAACGAGUUAUAAGGGUUUUAAGGUCUUCAGUAGGAUUAAAGCUCUUCAAACUAUCUAAUCGAAUCUCCACGAGAUCAGCACCGCUAGCUUUGGCCUUAUCCAAAUCAAUGAUCAUCUUAUCGACGGAAUCCGCCAUGAUUGGAGCACAAAUCAUUGUUGGAUUUUUCCUCAUGCCUCCUACUCCUCCAC